rnacentral:lncRNA from 1 species
UCCCCUCAUUAUUUUAUUUCAUUUAAUUUUUAUAUCAUAUUUGGUCCUCAUUCUUUUAACUGUUAUUUUAUUGUUUUUUUCUCUUUUUCUUGAUUUAUUUUAUUUUUUAAUUUCUUCUCUCAUUUUUUUAUUUUAUUUAAUUUUAUACUAGAUUUGGUUCCUUUUCUUUUAAUUGCUAUUUGUUUUUAUUUUUUUAUUUCAAUUUUCAAUUUCUUCUCUCAUUGUUUUAUUUCAUUUAAUUUAUACUAGAUUUUAUUCUCGUUUUUUUAUUGCUAUUUGUUUUUAAAAAAAAAUUUGGUUGAUUGGAAAUUUUUCUUCGUUGCUUUUUCAAGUUUGUCUUCUAUGAGUAACCUGGUCUCA